CCGGAUUUAUUGGGUUUAAAGGGUGCGCAGGCGGGGAAUCAAGUCAGCGGUGAAAUUCUGCGGCUCAACCGCAAAACUGCCGUUGAUACUGGUUCUCUUGAGUGUAUUUGAAGUGGGUGGAAUGUGUGGUGUAGCGGUGAAAUGCUUAGAUAUGACAAAGAACUCCAAUUGCGAAGGCAGCUCACUGGGCUAUAACUGACGCUCAUGCACGAAAGCGUGGGGAUCAAACAGGAUUAGAUACCCUGGUAGUCCACGCUGUAAACGAUGAUUACUCGAUGUUGGCGAUAUACUGCCAGCGUCUCAGCGAAAGCGUUAAGUAUUCCACCUGGGGAGUACGAUCGCAAGGUUGAAACUCAAAGGAAUUGACGGGGGCCCGCACAAGCGGAGGAACAUGUGGUUUAAUUCGAUGAUACGCGAGGAACCUUACCUGGGCUUGAAUGGCAUCCGUCUACAGAAGAUGUCUGCUAACUUGUAGAUGAAAAUUGCAAGGUGCUGCAUGGCUGUCGUCAGCUCGUGCCGUGAGGUGUCGGCUUAAGUGCCAUAACGAGCGCAACCCUCAUCGUUAGUUGCUAAUCAGGUCAUGCUGAGCACUCUAAUGAGACUGCCUGACGCAAGUCUGUGAGGAAGGUGGGGGAUGACGUCAGUCAGCACGGGCCCUUUACGUCCAGGGCUACACACGUGCUACAAUGGGCGGGUACAGACAGGCAGCUACAAUGUGACUGCAUGCAAAUCUCUCAAACCCGGCUCUCAGUUCGGAUCGAAGUCUGCACUCGACUCGUGAGCUUGGAAUUCGCUAGUAAUCGCAUAUCAGC
rnacentral:rRNA from 1 species